rnacentral:rRNA from 1 species
CACGUAGGGCGCGAGCGUUGUCCGGAAUUAUUGGGCGUAAAGAGCUCGUAGGCGGCCUGUUGCGUCCGCUGUGAAAGCCCGGGGCUUAACCCCGGGUCUGCAGUGGAUACGGGCAGGCUAGAGGUAGGUAGGGGAGAAUGGAAUUCCCGGUGUAGCGGUGAAAUGCGCAGAUAUCGGGAGGAACACCGGUGGCGAAGGCGGUUCUCUGGGCCUUACCUGACGCUGAGGAGCGAAAGCUAGGGGAGCAAACAGG